UUGGCACAUAAUUUCAAAGCUAUUCAGUCCAAACCUAAAGUGUAUCAGCGCAGCUAAUGUCAAACUGCCUUCAAAAUAAUUUGUUUAUUCCUUGACGAAGAAGACACAAACAUUUGUACCAAUAUAAAAAAUACAGACAAAUAUAUACUGUUUGAUGAACCUAUAUUUUGUGCACUCU